rnacentral:rRNA from 1 species
AGUGAACGCUGGCGGUAGGCCUAACACAUGCAAGUCGAACGGCAGCACAGUAAGAGCUUGCUCUUACGGGUGGCGAGUGGCGGACGGGUGAGGAAUACAUCGGAAUCUACUUUUUCGUGGGGGAUAACGUAGGGAAACUUACGCUAAUACCGCAUACGACCUACGGGUGAAAGCAGGGGAUCUUCGGACCUUGCGCGAUUGAAUGAGCCGAUGUCGGAUUAGCUAGUUGGCGGGGUAAAGGCCCACCAAGGCGACGAUCCGUAGCUGGUCUGAGAGGAUGAUCAGCCACACUGGAACUGAGACACGGUCCAGACUCCUACGGGAGGCAGCAGUGGGGAAUAUUGGACAAUGGGCGCAAGCGUGAUCCAGCCAUACCGCGUGGGUGAAGAAGGCCUUCGGGUUGUAAAGCCCUUUUGUUGGGAAAGAAAAGCAGCAGGUUAAUACCCCGCUGUUCUGACGGUACCCAAAGAAUAAGCACCGGCUAACUUCGUG